UCAUUAGUUCCUAGUCCUUCAGCGCGGAGUAGAGCAGUUUGGUAGCUCGCAAGGCUCAUAACCUUGAGGUCACG
rnacentral:tRNA from 3 species